rnacentral:misc_RNA from 1 species
GAUGAAGAACGCAGCGAAAUGCGAUAAGUAAUGUGAAUUGCAGAAUUCAGUGAAUCAUCGAAUCUUUGAACGCACCUUGCGCCCUUUGGCUAUUCCGAAGGGCAUGCCUGUUUGAGUAUCAUGAACACCUCAACUCUCAUGGCUUGCCAUGACGAGCUUGGACUUUGGGGGUCUUGCUGGCCUGUGGGUCGGCUCCUCUCAAAUGAAUCAGCUUGCCGGUUUUUGGUGGGCAUCACAGGUGUGAUAACUAUCUACGCUUGUGGUUUUCCACCAGGGUAACCUUCAGCAGUGGAGGUUCACUGGAGCUUACAAAUGUCUCUCCUCUGUGAGGACAGCCCUUUGAAUGUUUGAUCUCAAAUCAGGUAGGACUACCCGCUGAACUUAAGCAUAUCAAUAAGCGGAGGA